GGGCCACACCCAUGGUAUAUGGAAGUUUCCAGGCUAGGGGCCAAAUCAGAGUUGCAGUUGCCAGCCACUGCCACAACAACAUGGGAAAUGAGCCAUGUCUCCACCAUAGUUCAUGGUAACACUGGAUCCUUAACCCAGGAGUGGGGCCAUGGAUUGAACCCAUGUCCUCAUGGGUACUAGUCAGGUUUGUAAUCUGCUGAGCCACAAAGGGAACUCCAAUGAUAAAUCUUUUGUUUAGGCUAUUUCCAAUAUGCAAAAAUGGAAAAGGCUGUCAUGAAGCUGGGUGAACCUUUUCCCAGCCUGCCAUCCAUUAUUUAUCAUUUCAUAGCCAUUGCUGUUUCAUCCAUCUUAAUGUACACUAGUGGGUUAUUUUACUUUUAAUCCCAUGUGUAACAUUAAAUGCAUAACCUCUUUAGAAUGGUUUGUGUGUGUGUGUGUGUGUGUGUGUGUGUGUGUGUUUUGUCAUUUCUAGGGCCACUCCCGUGGCACAUGGAGGUUCCCAGGCUAGGCGUCUAAUCAGAGCUAUAGCUGCCAGUCUCCACCAGAGCCACAGCAACCCUCGGAUUCCGUGUUGCUGUGGCUGUGGUGAAGGCUGGCAGCUGUAGCUCCAAUUAGAUCCCCCACCCAGAAACUUCCAUGUGCUGGGGGUACAGCCCUAAAAAUCAAAACAAAAUUUAGAAACUUUAACAACUUCAUGAAACAUCAGUGAAAGGCAACUAAAACUAUAGUGAGGAUAAUGCUAUAAAAUUAUUUAAGGAGUUCCCAUUGUGGCCCAGCGGUUAACAAACCCAAAUAGCAUCUACAGGGAUGCAGGUUCGAUCCCUGGCCUCACUCAGUUGGGUUAAGGAUCUGUUGUUGCCGUGAGCUAUGUGUAGGUCGCAGACGUGGCUCAGAUCCUGCGUUGCUGUGGCUGUGGUGUAGGCCAGACGCCACGGCUCUGAUUAGACCCCUAGCCUGAGAACCUGCAUAAUUUAAAAAAUUAAAAAUAAAAACAAAAAUUUUAAAAGGGGGGUUCCUGCUGUGGCGCAGUGGGUUAAGCUCAGGUCACUGUAAAGGUUCAGGUUUGACCUUUGGCCUGGCACAGUGGGCUGAAGGAUCCAGUGUUGCCACAGCUGGGGCUCAGCUUUAAUCCCUGCCGGAGACUGCCAUAUGCAACAAGCGAAGCCAUUAAAAACAAACAAAAAAAUCAUGUAAAAGCCUCAGAAGUUAAAAGGACUCAUCACACCCACUAUUGCCAAGGAUGUGAAAGAACUGAAACUCCCACACUGCUAGUAAAGUUGACUUAGAUCAGUUUGACAUUUCUUAAAAAGUUAUAUACUUAUCUCCUCUGUUAGAUAUUAGAACCCAUGAUGUUAACACAGAAUAAAUGAAAGACAUAUGAGAAAUUACAUUUUUCAUGUAGUGGUUUUAGAUUUUUUUUUUUUUUUUGCUUUUUAGGGCCACACCCACGGCAUAAGGAAGUUCCCAGGCUAGGGAUCUAAUUAGAGCUACAGCUGCUGGCCUGUGCCAUGGUCACAGCCACACAGGAUACAAGCUGCAUCUGCGACCUAUACCACAGCUCAGGGCAACACCGGAUCCCCAACCCACUGAGUAAGGCCAGGGAUCAAACCCGCAUCCUCAUAGAUACUAGUCAGAUUUGUUUCCACUGCACCACAGGGGAACUCCCUAUGUAGGAGUUUUAUUCCCAGCAGCCUAAACUUAGAUGUCCUUAAGCAGAACAAAGAUGGUGUAUCCACAGAACAUCAUACUUUUCAGCUUUAUGAAAAGCAUCUUCGUAUAAGCAUCAUGUAAGGACUAUUCAUAUUCAUGUACACAUCCUUAAUGAAUCUUUUUUUUUUUUUUUUUUU
rnacentral:lncRNA from 1 species